GAAAAAAGGAAAACAAUACAAAUAAAGUUCUUAUAGUCCUUAGUGUAGCACAGUAACGACAUUCAAAGUCCUCAGGGUAUGUACUAAUUUGGAAAAAAAAAAAGAAUUCUGACUAUUACAAAAUAUAUAUGUACUUAUUUGAUCAACAAUAAACAGUAGCACAAAGAUAAUUACAAAGUCCAUCCUCAGCUGAACUCUACUGAAAGCAAAAAGUUUAGCCUUUAAACCAGUGAGCCUAGUUAAUAGACUGUAUCCAUACUAGAAAACACAGAGCUGAUACAGGAAGGGAGGGAGGCCUGGGGAGAAAGGAAGAAGGAGCCACCUGCUCAGCUGAGAAUUAAUGUACAGCUCUGAGGAAAAGAAAUGGCGGCUGCAGCAAAGAACAAGCUUUGUUUGUAUUUUAAUAAUUUGCCUCCUAUGUAGACCUACUUGAACUUGAACUGGAGGGCUACAUUGCUUACUGCACAAGCGUGACUAUUAGUUCAGCUGCUGAAAACUGAUCUACCAUAACACACUUCCUCAGGCUGUUUGUGAAGCCAAGUGUCAGGCAUCACCUAAUACUUGAUUCUACUACUUUUAGAGCUAACGAAGGUCCUGUUGGACAAAGGGCUACAGGUGGCUGAGCAGAGGCUCUGAAAACAACUAUGUCCAUCAUCUUGGCCGGCCAGAAUCACUACAGAUAGCAGCACUGCUGCACAUGGAGUUGUAUGAGUGCUCCUGAUGAACAGUCCUUUGACAAUGAAAAAACAAAACCACACCAGAGAUCCAGGUUACCCAGGAACACCAGAAAGAUUUCCAGCCAUGUUGUGCCACCCCGUGUAAGAAAUGGGAAAUUGCACAGCUCUGCUGACCAUCGUGACCUGGGCGGUGUCCUGCAGAUGAUAACUUGUGCAAUUUGAAGGCAGUUUUUAGUUUAUCAGCAACCAAAUUAUAUUUAGAAAAGCUCAACAAUAUUUUGUAUGAAACAUUUUUUUCUUAAAACUUUCAACCUUUUGACAUAAUAAGUAAUAGAGGCCCUUUUUAUAUUACUGGUGUGAUGAAGGAUAAGGAAGAUUGCCACGCACACCCUGUUUUCAGAGCUCAGCUGAACCCAGCUCCGUCUGGAAUAAUUCCAGCUGUUCACAAACAAUGUGCACCAGCAGACUGAGAUCUCUAGCCACUCAGUCCUAAAUACCUGAGCCUUAUGAACUGUGUACAAAAUUCCUGUGAUCAGCUCUGCACUAUUAAAAAC
rnacentral:lncRNA from 1 species